AGAGUUUGAUCAUGGCUCAGGACGAACGCUGGCGGCGUGCCUAAUACAUGCAAGUCGAACGAAACUUUCUUACAUCGAAUGCUUGCAUUCACCGUAAGAAGUUGAGUGGCGGACGGGUGAGUAACACGUGGGUAACCUGCCUAAAAGAAGGGGAUAACACUUGGAAACAGGUGCUAAUACCGUAUAUCUCUAAGGAUCGCAUGAUCCUUAGAUGAAAGAUGGUUCUGCUAUCACUUUUAGAUGGACCCGCGGCGUAUUAACUAGUUGGUGGGGUAACGGCCUACCAAGGUGAUGAUACGUAGCCGAACUGAGAGGUUGAUCGGCCACAUUGGGACUGAGACACGGCCCAAACUCCUACGGGAGGCAGCAGUAGGGAAUCUUCCACAAUGGACGCAAGUCUGAUGGAGCAACGCCGCGUGAGUGAAGAAGGUCUUCGGAUCGUAAAACUCUGUUGUUAGAGAAGAACACGAGUGAGAGUAACUGUUCAUUCGAUGACGGUAUCUAACCAGCAAGUCACGGCUAACUACGUGCCAGCAGCCGCGGUAAUACGUAGGUGGCAAGCGUUGUCCGGAUUUAUUGGGCGUAAAGGGAACGCAGGCGGUCUUUUAAGUCUGAUGUGAAAGCCUUCGGCUUAACCGGAGUAGUGCAUUGGAAACUGGAAGACUUGAGUGCAGAAGAGGAGAGUGGAACUCCAUGUGUAGCGGUGAAAUGCGUAGAUAUAUGGAAGAACACCAGUGGCGAAAGCGGCUCUCUGGUCUGUAACUGACGCUGAGGUUCGAAAGCGUGGGUAGCAAACAGGAUUAGAUACCCUGGUAGUCC
rnacentral:rRNA from 1 species